rnacentral:rRNA from 1 species
CAGUAGCCGCGGGAAUACGAAGGGGGCUAGCGUUGCUCGGAAUGACUGGGCGUAAAGGGCGCGUAGGCGGCGAUCAAAGUCAGGCUUGAAAUUCCUGGGCUCAACCUGGGGGCUGCGCUUGAUACUUGGUUGCUUGAGUGGGGUAGAGGGUCGUGGAAUUCCCAGUGUAGAGGUGAAAUUCGUAGAUAUUGGGAAGAACACCGGUGGCGAAGGCGGCGACCUGUCCUUGACUGACGCUGAGGCGCGAAAGCGUGGGGAGCAAACAGGAUUAGAUACCCGGGUAGUCCCUGUCUCUUAUACA